GAAGAAGAAGAAGAAGAAACAUUUGUUCGUCCAAGCGUUUGAGUCUGUUUUUAUGUGGUUGAGUGUCCUUAUUCUACUGCUACACAAAGGAUGGUCUUCCGUAAUGUCAAAAUCCCACUGCCAUCAAGACACUUCUGACCCAUCAAGGCAAGGACUCCACAAGACUUCUAAAGGUAUUAACCACUGCAUCCCAGGUCACCGCUCAAGACUGCUGUUCCGCUGACGCUGUAUCCCAGUCAUCUAGCCAUCACAGUUAGAACUCACAGUCGUACAACAAAUGUGUACAGCACACCAGAAGAAGUGUUCAGCCUGAUGGAGCGGACUGCAACAUGGCAUGAUGGAUGUUGAGGAGCUGAUACAUGUCAAGCUCAAGAGACAGACAUAAAUCAUUGCAGAGAGGGUGAAAUGACUAAGAAAGAAAGAUCAGAGAUUGAUAUGAACUAAAGGAAAGAUACAGCAAGUCUAUUAAUUCAUAAUCACAUGACCAGAGUGAGAAAAUAGAAAUAGCAAAAAUUGGCAAUUACAUAAAUACAUAUGCCAAAUCAUCAUGGCAAAUACA